CCUACGGGAGGCAGCAGUGGGGAAUAUUGGACAAUGGGGGCAACCCUGAUCCAGCCAUGCCGCGUGUGUGAAGAAGGCCCUCGGGUUGUAAAGCACUUUCAGUGAGGAAGAACGCCUGGUGGUUAAUACCCAUCAGGAAAGACAUCACUCACAGAAGAAGCACCGGCUAACUCCGUGCCAGCAGCCGCGGUAAUACGGAGGGUGCGAGCGUUAAUCGGAAUUACUGGGCGUAAAGCGCGCGUAGGUGGCUUGAUAAGCCGGUUGUGAAAGCCCCGGGCUCAACCUGGGAACGGCAUCCGGAACUGUCAAGCUAGAGUGCAGGAGAGGAAGGUAGAAUUCCCGGUGUAGCGGUGAAAUGCGUAGAGAUCGGGAGGAAUACCAGUGGCGAAGGCGGCCUUCUGGACUGAAACUGACACUGAGGUGCGAAAGCGUGGGUAGCAAACAGGAUUAGAUACCCGUGUAGUC
rnacentral:rRNA from 1 species